rnacentral:lncRNA from 1 species
AACAAGCCAUGAAAAAGAAAACAAGGAAGAUCAUGUUGGGCUUGCUGUCCAAGCUGAGGAGCUAAGAGAGCUUGUUCCAGGUGGUGAAUCCAUGGAUUUAUGCAACUUGUUGGAUGAAACUGCGCAUUACAUUAAGUGCCUCACCACACAGGUACAGGUGAUGAAAAAAAUCGCCAAUCUCUACUCCCUUGAGUAAUUCCAUAUAUACAUACAUAUAUAUACUUAUUACAUCAAUGUUAUAUAUAGAAUAAAUAUGCAUAAAUCAGAGGAACAUAUUGUUGAAAGGGAAAAUGAUUCAUACAGAGAUGAUUUGUCUAAGAUGGUAAGUAUUUUUAUUUUCUGUAGAGAGCAGAUAUAUAGGUAAUUGAGAUGAAAUAGUUUUCAAUCCGAGGAACUUGCAUAAUCUUUGUGAGAUAUUGGGAUUUUCUUUUUAUCAUUUCUAUAAACUGUUUCUUUAGUUAAUGUUUGCAUCUUUUUUUUCCCUAUAAGCCUGUAUUUUACAUAUAAUUUGGAGUCAUUCCUCUGCUAUAAGAUAGAUAGAUUUAAUCCUACUAGUUAAUUUCUUUGGUAUUUUGUUCUUGUUUCUGGGUUUCUAUUGUUUUUGGUUGAUCAAUUACCAUUUUCUACCUUUUUCCUUUCUCUCAUAGAAAUAUUUUCAAUAUUGAAAAGAAAAUGAACUUGUUUUCUUAGUUUGGCAGGAGUGUACAUCAAGAUAGCUAUAUGAUUUUAAGGUGAGACAAAUGUAAUUUUAAUUGUACCUUAAGUCAAUUAUCAACCACACAACAAUUAACAAAUUGAAAACUCAAAAACUAAAUUAAAUUAAACUAAACUCAAAUGUAGAAUGUUUUCUUUCAAUAAUGCUAAAAUAAACUAUAAAAGAAUCUAUACUAGUAGAGGUGUAUGGGUCCAUGUAAUCCAUUAUUAUGCUCCUUUAUUUAUUUAUUUAUUUAUAUUAAGUAUUAGUGUAAUAAUUAUAAUUAUUAUUAUAUUGGUUUUCAUGAAAAACAAGACCCUUUUUUAUAUAUAUAUUUUCCAGGGUUUUUUCUUUUAACUUUUUUUAGGGUGUUGUCUACCAAUUUGCUCUAAAAGACCUUAUAUGGAAUCAUUCCUUUAUCCUCUCACAUGCUUUCUUGCCAUUCUUAGAUUUGCGUCCCUUUGUGAACUUUUUCUGUCAACUUAAUAAAGGAAAAAUCUUCAAGACAAAAGAAUGGGAGAUUAUUAUAUGAAACAAAUUUUUUUGUUCAUUAUUAUAUGAAACAUCUGUUUCUUGUUAAGAACUUAAUAUACAAUUUUUUUAUUUAAGUGAUUUUUUCAGUAGAAUUAAUAAUGAAUUGUUGAAAUCAUUAUUAACAAUUUAAUUAUUACAUAUAUAUGUGAUAAAUAAUUGUCUUUUUUCCAAGUAUUACUUAUAAUAUAUAUGAACACGUAACAAUUUCAUAAAUUUCAUACAAUAUAUAAAAUUUACUUCGAAAGUUCAAAAAAAAUAGUGGAAAUCUGUAUUACUUUUACGAGCAACGUCAAGAAUGUUAAUCCUACAAUCACUUAUCCUUGAAUACCUCUAGCAAUUGUACAUAAGAUUAUUUUUUUACCAUCAUUUCUUUGUUUCUUUCCCAUUUUUCUACUCUUUCCUUUUCUAACUAUUAACUACUUAUUAUCUUACAUGAAUCCAAUAUUUCUCUCAUUUUUUCACCUUUGAACCAGCUUUGACCCAUUUUAUUCUAAGUAUUGCAGAACACAUAUCUCCAUUUUUUUAAAGUUACAUCAUUUUCAAUCAAACAUUAAAUAACUAAUUUAACUAUUAACUAAACUCUAACUAACUAAUUAACUAGAAUAAAUAUAAAAGAGAAUCCACACGAUCCUUAAAUCUUAAAAUUUGUAAGACCUCAACCUUACCAUUGAGCCAAGGUCUCAUUUGCCCAACACAUCUGUGAUAAACUUUGAUUGUUGACAUAGUUUGAUUUCUAAGUUGUGUAUACUAAUACUAUACUGGAAGUCUGCAUUAAAACGAAUCUAAACCCUAAUUCAUAUCAACCCUAUUGUUCUUCCUGUUGAAAAAUAAAAUAAAAACCAUAGUAUUAAUAUGUAAAUAUUGAAAGCCUAAUGUUAUUUGUUUUAAUAUCAUGCGCUUAACCAAACAGUAGCAAAGAAUAAUAAUAAUCUUAGAAAGUACUUUAUAUAUAUUAAUGGUAUAAUUUGAAGCUCUUUAAAAUUAUGCCCAACUUAUUUUCUUUAAUCUCUUGAAGAAAUAAAUUUUAUUAGAAACAAUCUCCUUUCUAUUUAAGUUUGAACUUAUAAGAAAAAUAUAAAACACUAUUUACAAUCAAGCAUGGUUUUGACUUCUCAGUGCUAUGUAAGAUGGGGAAUAGCAAAUUGAAGUUUCUAGAAUUAUAAUUUAGGGUGUUUUUUAUAAACCUUCAAAAUUUUCAUUUCAUUGACAAAAAAAAUUAACAUUUAAAUUGUAAAUGUUUUGAUAAUGAUAUUAAAUUUUCAACAAAAAGUUAUUGAAUAUGAUAAAUAACUAGAUAGCUAUUCAUCAAAUCGAUGCUAAAAAUUUGAAGUUAUUUUUAAAAAAUAUAUAUAUUCUUUAGUUAUGAGCUUUAUAAGCUGAAUAAUAGUAGAAAUAUAUAUAUUUUAAAUACUAAUAUACCAAAUAAUUUUAUAAUAUAAAUUCAUCAGUACUCAUAAAAUUAAUUAGCACUUAGUUUUGACUAUUAAUUUUUCAAUUUAUUAAAUAACACGUUACUUAAUUUGUUAAGUAAGAAAUUAAAAGCUUUAAGAAGACGAAAAAGAAAUAAUAAAUACUUUUUUUGUUUCGAAAUUGAGGAAAUUAGUGAGUCUAAAGUACUCUAAGGAAAAAGCAGUCAGCUUCUCACAAGCUACAAAAUAGUUAUAAUUGCUAGUCGUGGUUUAUUUCUUUCUUUAUAAACAUACAGAGAUAUAUAUAUAUAUGUAUAUAUCUCACAACCUACCAAAUAGUUAUAAUUUGAGUUAUAUACAUAAAAACCAUAUAAUUAUAAUCAAAAACUAAUUCCAUGGAAAAUACUUUUUUCCCUUCUUCUCCCCUGGUUAAUUUAUAUAUUGCAUUUUCCAUCCAAACAAGGAAACGGUGAGAUUUUCCUGGAAAUCCUUUUCACAUCUUGCCUAGCAGUUGCAUUAAAAUUAACUUGUAUAUACGUGAUUUAUUUUUCAUAUAAUUCGAAGAUGCUUCAAGAUGGAAAAAGGUGUUUUUCUAAGUUCGAUAUGACCUCAAUUUCUUCCAUUUUAUUUGGCAUAAUUUCACUGAUACAAAACUAAGGUUACUAUUAAACUAAAAAUUAUUUUAAAAAAGUUUAAGGCAACAAUUUUAAUUCUAUAUUAUACCUACAAAACCAAAUAGCAUUGUUGAAAAACUGCAAAAUGAAGAUGAUUUUGAAUAUAUAUAUAACAAAUAUUACUUGAGAUAGAUUCACAUAUAUAUGAAACUAAAUAACUAAAAAAUGACGUCAAAUAAAACAAGGGAAUAAAAGGAAUAAGCCAAAUAGCUAGUUUGUGAGAGUGCAACAUAUAUUCAAACAACUUACCGACAGGCCAACGAUUGCCGACUUUCCAUUUCCAAAGGCUUCCGAUUCAAUAUUUAGCCUGAGAUGGAUGAGUGUGAGAAUCAAACCUAGAAGAAAACAAAUAAUGCAGCUUAAAUAAAUAAGUGAAAACAGUAAUAAGAUUCAAAUCAAUGAAGAUGCAUGAUACGAAUACGAUCCAUUCUAAAACAGUAGGUAAAUGAUAAAGCGGAUGAUAUACCUCUCGGAUUAAACAAAAAGAUAAUUUGAGAGAAUCCAACUGCUGUAGGAAAGGUUUGAAGAUCUAAGAAGAAAAAUCCAAUGUCCAUGAAAAAGAAAAAGGAAAUAAAGAGGACAAAAGUCCAGAUUUAAGUUAUGGAAAAAGGGUUUUGUUGUCGAUCACUAAGAAGUAAUAACCGUUCAGAUAUUAGAAAUAUGGGUGAAACGGCUUUAGUAUAG